GGGUAGAGGGGGCAGAGCGCAGACACGCAGUGGAAUCACUCGAUGGCCGGCAAUGUGCGCCGCGUCAUCGCUCUGAGUGUUUCGCUGUUGCAUGUCCAAGUGUUAACGCCACUUUUCAUUAAUAUUAUUCUUUCAUUCAUCGACCCGUGCGUCUCGAGCACGUACAGAACUCUAACAGGAAGAACUCUCAGCGUUCCUCUCGAAGGACACACAAUCAAUCCACCUAUCAAGAGACCUACUUUUCAAAUCAUUCGCAUAGAUCCGCGUUUUCUACUUUUCUUGUCCACGUGUUUCACUUACGAAAUUAAAGAACCUAUGUUUGUCCAAUGAAACACAUACAGCCAGCUCUUAUUCUUUCUCCGAAACUCUUCAUUCAGCUAACGAUUCCACUACUAUCCUCUAUCCUAAUAGACCGCUUUGCAGAACAGAAACUGGGACACCAUCGUUGACAAUAGACGCGAUUAUAUUGAAAUCCCCUGCUUGCCCAUUUCAACCAACCCUUAAAUCCCGAUCCUCUAUCAUCCUGAUCAUGACAAUCGACCAAUUGGUUUGAAUUACUUCCCUUUCGACCGAGGACCAUGUAAAAGGGAGUCCGAUGUGUGGUCGAGUUGUUGGACACAGAUACAUUUCGAUGAGUGAAAUCGGUACUGUUCUUCGAGUGUCGUGAGUGUGGAAAGCGAGAGGGUGGCGGUGGACCGACCUUGGUGUCUUUAUCCACCGAGCUGAGAAGAAGAAAAAGUAGGAGCAGAGGAGGAAGACAGGCAGGAGAGAAAGAGGAGCAGAAGAGAAGGAAGAAAAGUUAUUCGUUGAAGAUGGAAAGCCGCGUGGAGGAGACGAACGUACCGUCAACGGUGACCACGACGCGGGCGAUCGGGACACCCUCCCCAAUACCAACGGCGGCCAUCAACGCGGUCCCUACCGCCGGUGCGUUGACUUCCCUUGCUUCCGUCACCUCUUGCUCCAUCCAGAAUCCCGUGGUCGUGGUCACGAGCCCUCCGACCAAGCACCAACAAUCCGCUCCCGGGUUGUCCACUGUACCCGCCAUCCCACCCGUGUCAGCUGUCAACGCUGUCAACGCGAGUCUGCCGAAGAUACUCAGCAGGAACGUCAACGGCACGCUGGUGCAGACGUCCGUACCUCAGAACGAAGCAGAAUUGCAGUUGUACAGGGUGAUGCAACGAGCGUCCCUUUUGGGCUACUACGACACUCUUUUAGAAAUGGGUGGCGACGAUGUACAACAAUUGUGCGACGCCGGGGAAGAGGAAUUCUUAGAAAUUAUGGCCUUAGUCGGUAUGGCGAGCAAACCUCUUCACGUCAGGAGACUGCAGAAAGCUCUACAAGAAUGGCUGACGAAUCCUUCCCUUUUCCAAACGCCAGUGGUACCGACGAAUGCUACCUGCAAGAAUCCAUCGACCAUCGGAUUCGCCUGCGCGAGUCCCAGGCCGCAAGUACAAAAUCUUCAAGGUUUCGCAACGACUUCGCAGACGCAAACGCCAACGCCCUACGUUUCGUCACACGUGUCCCUCACACCACUGCCCUGCAGGAGUACUAGUCCCAUAGUGUCAGUGACGAGCGUGACGGCACCCGUCGCUUCGACCACCUUUCGACAGAGUCCCAGUCCCAACACACCCCUGCCCUAUGCAACCGCGCAUAGUCCCGGUAUACUACAGGUAGGAACUUGCGAAUCGUCGUGCGGUAGUGGCACAACCCCUAGUCCCGGAGGUGGCGGUGGUGCACCUGCGAGUCCUACGCAACCAACUCCGACACUUCUUCAGUCGCAAAUACAGAGAUUAGCAGAGGCAGCGGAAAGACUGGCCGCUACCAUUCGACCAGUCGAUCCAAAGCCACAUAACGUUAAAAAGAAGAUCUGCAAAAAUCUAGAGAUGGUAAUGGCUAUGCCUGACAGCGACCCACGCCGAAUGGAAGAAAUCCGAAAAUACGCGGCGAUUUAUGGGAGAUUCGACUGCAAGAGGAAACCAGAGAAACCACUGACAUUGCACGAAGUGUCGGUAAACGAAGCCGCCGCACAAAUUUGUAGGUUCGUACCUGCCCUUCUUACUAGAAGGGACGAACUUUUUCCUUUGGCCCGGCGGGUUGUCAGAGAUUCUGGGUAUCAUUAUUCAAAAAAUCAUUAUCUGUCCGUAUCGAGACCGCGUGAGAAUGGCGACGAAAGCGAAAACGAGCGUACAAAGAGACAAAAGCUCGAACUCGAGGGUGAGAAUGAAGAUGGGACGCAGGUUAGCGCACCUCGACCAUAAAAAUAACCAGUAUGCAGAAGAUUCCAGUUGAAAAUAGUUGCAAACGUGAUUAGGAUUGAGGAUUUCAUCCCAUGCAGAUUAUAUCUUAUCGUGCAUCCUAUACCUUCAAUCUGGAAUCAUUGGCAUAUUAAUGAAACCACUGUACACGCAUGAGCGCUAACCACUAACUAUGCAUCCAGCACAUAAAUAAUUGCAACACCUAAAACCUACCGUUUGGUUGAUACACACGUGAACGACAACUGGAAAAGGUCAAGUAUAUAGCUUCUGCAUAACAUGCAUGGCUUUUUAACACUGAUUGUAUGCUACUACUGUUUCAUUUUCAGAAAAGAAAAAUAAUUUACUAAUGCGUAAUGAUAAUAAAAAUAUUUGGGUCCUUAAGGUACGUUUGAAUAAAUCGAUCUAUUUUUUUAUUAUUCUAUGCAUAUUUUGUGUGAAAGAAAUAAAUUUAUUUUUCCCUUAUGAAUUAUUUACUAUAGUUAAUCGAAUACAUUUUUAUAAGUGAUAAGUGAAGUGAUAUGUAACUUUCUCUUUACAAAAAUAUGUAUUCUACUGGAACAAAAUAUGAUAUUUUUAUUAGUAGCAUCUUACUUUUUAUUUGGGACACGUGUAAAACUUAUAGUGUGGUAGAGCUUAUUUGUUUUAUCAAUUGCUUUUCCUUUGUAUUAAAGUAAUUCAAAUUUUAUAUUCUAAAUUCAUCUUAUCUUGAAUCGUCUCAGGUAAUUGUAAAGAAAGAUAUGAGAGACAAUGCAGUAUACAAAUUUCUGGAGAAUGCAAAUUUUGUAUUUUGAAGUAUUGUCUUGAUGAAAUUUAAUGUUUUAUGAGAUGUUUAUGUAUAUCAAUCGUUCUUUCUAUCAAAUUAUUCCUUAAUAUUAUUGAGAUUAAUUAUCCUCAAUAUAUAAAUUAAUUAAAAUAUAGAUCAAUUUACUCAAAUAUAUCCUAUUACUUAAAUAUUUUUGUUACUCACUUGUACAAAGUGCAUCUAACAACUUAGACAAGCUAUAACACUAUUCCUGAUGAAAAUAGUUUUUCAUAAAUGCAUUGGUACAGUUGAAAAGUACAAUUAAACUUUUUUGUAACUUCACCAGGAACAGUGAUAUAGGCUGUUCCCACUUACUAGAUACACUUUAUACAUAGAAUUGAAUUUUUAAUUUUGAAAUGGUUUACUUAUGUUUCAAAAUAUGUAGUAAUUUAGAACUGCCAUUCUUUGCAGCUAUAUAGUAAACGCAAGUAUUUGCAGAUUCACUCAUUUUCUUUUCACAAAUAUUAGGUAUUAGAAGAAAUUUGUGGUUUUCUAUCUAUUUUAUAUUUACAGUAAAUUUUAUUAAACAAUUACAGUACAUUUACAUUUUAUUAAACAAAACAAUAUUACAGUCAAUGUAAAUUUUAUUUUAUUUUAUUGCUAUAUGUUAUUUUUUUUUAUUUU